UUCAGGUUCCCUAAACUUUGCAUUUGGUAUGUAGGGCACCAAAUAACAACGUUUAGCCCAUGACAUCUCCAUGAUUGCAUACAGCCAUACACGUCUUUGUCAUAGCACCCACCAUUACCAUCACUUGCAUUAGCCCCCCCUCCUAGAAAUGUUGUCUCCAUCUCAGCUUCAUCAAUCUCACACAUACAUGUGUUAUCUUGUUAUAAUUCUCUCAUUUUGAGUACUUUUGUUUCUUUCUUUUUUAUCAAAUGGAUAUCUCCAAAUGCUCAUCUUCACCUUCAUUGCCUGAGUCAUCUUCCUCUCCUAAAAGAAUUCAGAGAGUGUCUAAGUUUGUUUCUGACCGACUUCUCGACAAAUUUUUUGAUGCAACUGAGUUUGAUUUUGAUUACGAGCAAAGUGGAAUCUGGUCUCCUCCCAUUAGAAGAAGCGCAUUCUUGAGCUCACCGGGAAGGAUAUUCACCGGAAAUGUGAUGGAUACUCGUCGUGCUAGAAGAAAUAAUAAAGCAUGCUGUAAUGUAUGGCACUGGUAGUGUGCUGCUUUUGAAUUUUGAAAAUGGUUGAAGAGACUCACUCUCACCUAAUCUCCCCGAAGGCUGAGAGAGUCAUGGACAAAAUUAGGAGGAGGAAAAGAAAAGAUAAAAAGCUUUGAAAUUUAACUUCUCGCAUUAAUUUUAAUUAGUCUUCUCUAUGAGAUGUAUAUUCUACUUUUUUUUUUCAUAUUUAUAUAAAUGAUAUAUAAUUAAAGAGAAUACAAAAAUUAGUUCGCAUGCAA